rnacentral:rRNA from 1 species
GCUACGGGCGGCUGCAGUGAGGAAUAUUGGUCAAUGGGCGCGAGCCUGAACCAGCCAAGUAGCGUGAAGGAUGACUGCCCUACGGGUUGUAAACUUCUUUUAUAAAGGAAUAAAGUGAGGCACGUGUGCCUCUUUGUAUGUACUUUAUGAAUAAGGAUCGGCUAACUCCGUGCCAGCAGCCGCGGUAAUACGGAGGAUCCGAGUGUUAUCCGGAUUUAAUGGGUUUAAAGGGAGCGUAGAUGGGUUGUUAAGUCAGUUGUGAAAGUUUGCGGCUCAACCGUAAAAUUGCAAUUGAUACUGGCAGUCUUGAGUACAGUUGAGGGAGGCGGAAUUCGUGGUGUAGCGGUGAAAUGCUUAGAUAUCACGAAGAACCCCGAUUGCGAAGGCAGCUUACUAAACUGUGACUGACAUUGAUGCUCGAAAGUGUGGGUAUCAAACAGGAUUAGAUACCCCUGUAGUC